GCCAGGUGUGGUGGCUCACGCCUGUAAUCCCAGCACUUUGGGAGACUGAGGUGGGUGGAUCACCUGGGGUCGGGAGUUCGAGACCAUCCUGGCUAACCCGGUGAAACCCCGUCUCUACUAAAAAAUACAAAAAACUAGCCGGGCGAGGUGGCGGGCGCCUGUGGNNNNNNNNNNCCACAGGCGCCCGCCACCUCGCCCGGCUAGUUUUUUGUAUUUUUUAGUAGAGACGGGGUUUCACCGGGUUAGCCAGGAUGGUCUCGAACUCCUGACCUCGUGAUCCGCCCGUCUCGG
rnacentral:SRP_RNA from 1 species